AUAAGUGUCGAACAAAAGAGAAGUAACAUGGAUGAGCCUUUUCAGAGAGCUGAUGGUGCUGUGAAUCAGUAGGGAGAUCGAUGCGAAUGGACUUUUGGACAGAAGUUUUGAAGAAUUAGUAGGAACUUCCGGGAACUCCCGUUAUAGAGUAAGGUCGUUGUUGGACGACUGAGAGAGAAAUGCCUUUUAUUCAGGCAUACCAUUGAGGUGGCACCGUGGAUUAUCCGCCCUCAAA
rnacentral:ncRNA from 1 species